AGCAGCCGCGGUAAUUCCAGCUCCAAUAGCGUAUAUUAAAGUUGUUGCAGUUAAAAAGCUCGUAGUUGAAUUUCGGGAUCAGUAUGUUGGUCGUGCUUCGGUACGUACUGUCAUUACUGGUUUCUACCUUCUGAAGAACCUUGAUGUCAUUAAUUUGGUGUCUUGGGGAAUCAGGACUGUUACUUUGAAAAAAUUAGAGUGUUUAAAGCAAGCAUACGCUUGAAUACAUUAGCAUGGAAUAAUGAAAUAGGACGUUUGAUUCUAUUUUGUUGGUUUCUAGGAUCGACGUAAUGAUUAAUAGGGAUAGUUGGGGGCAUUAGUAUUCAAUUGUCAGAGGUGAAAUUCUUGGAUUUAUUGAAGACUAACUACUGCGAAAGCAUUUGCCAAAGGAUGUUUUCAUUAAUCAAGAACGAAAGUUAGGGGAUCGAAGACGAUCAGAUACCGUCGUAGUCUUAACCAUAAACUAUGCCGACUAGGAAUCAGACGAUGUUAAUUUUUUAAUGACUCGUUUGGCACCUUA
rnacentral:misc_RNA from 1 species